CUCUGCCACGUCAGUCUGAUAUUACUCGACAAAAUUUUCACGGUCAACUUAGUUUUGGGCUUCUAAUUUUCUGUUGUCGUGGCCCAUCAUUAAUACCCAAUAUACAGACAAAAUUAAUUAAUCACAGCAGCCUAAGUCGACUCAUGCAUUCAUCCGCCGUUUACAACCUUUUCAGAUUCCCCUACUGUAACGAUUCUAAUUUAAUUGACCCAAACUUUCCCUAGCCAUAUAUUACUUCAUCUUCAUCUUCUGCUGUUUAGAGUAUGCUCAAACCUCUUACUUCUCUCCAUUGCUCACUAUUUCUCCGAAUCCUUGAAGCACCGCAAUGAUGGCCCUAAAACGCUCCAAAUCGUCGAUCUCUGACGGUUUACUUCUACAAAGUCGCCGCCGGUCAAGUUGAUUCAGUUUUGAGAAGCCCAUAAUCCCGCUAAAGUAGGGAUGCUAAUUGGCCUUCAGCUUCCAUCUCAUUAGAGCAGAUCUUAAUCGGUUUCCGCUGUCGACUGAUUUCUUAGAAAGUUUUAGCGCUCUCCGCCGUAAAAUCUACAAUCACCGAAGGAAAAGUGAAGUACUUUCAGUCUUGGGUUUAGUGGACUCGAUAAUAAGAUAAACAUCAUUGCGUCAGUUUACAUUCUGAGAGAUCCAGGAUGUAAGAGUGUUUGAACCAUGUAAGGAUGCUCAUCAACGUGUUGGACACACUCUUUUGUUGAACCAUGAGUGCGUCCUUUUCUUAUUCCCUUCCUUGAACCACGUAAGCAUGUUCUUAAUUUUAUAUUUGAUGGUGUGUUUUCAAUCUUACUUUUCUAGCUUUCAUGUGACAUGUGUUUUUUCCCUUGCUGGAAGAGCAUGACUGCUGCAAUUUAUGUGAGGAUGUUUGUCAUGGAUAUAGAAAGAAACGUUGGGGGUGCUACGAAUUUAGAUUUAAUUGACCAAGUGAGGUGCUGAUAAAAAAAGGUUUAAUUUAGUAAACCAAUCAUUUUUUAAAAUAUAUAGAUGGUUCAUAUUUGUAAUUCAGUACUGCUUAAUAUCUUCUGUAAUUCCGAUUUAUUUAAACAUCCCCUAGCUGGUCACUAAGCUAACGGUUGCCAUCCUCACUUGAUUGCUCCUGAGCAAGGUAUUGAGUCUUCUAUUGUAUUCCUGGGAGGCCCUUCUGAGUCUCAUGCGAUCCUCUUGAAGGAUAUGGACAAGUCUGUGAUUGAUAUGUCGAUAUGUUCUCCCUUCCGUUAGUAAUAUAUAUAUAUCUAUGUUUUGAAGGUUACUGUGUCAAUGAAGAGCCCAAAGUCUAUAAGCAAUAUGUAUGGGAAGGAGAAGCUGAUUCAAGCAGUAUCUUCCAUUUAAGAAGAUACUGAUCCUCAGCUAAUCAUUCUUAGAGGGACCUGUCUUACUUUGCAUCUAAAGGAUCAUAAUGCUUUGCCGGAUGACAAAGGAUUUGCAGACCCAGACUGAAUUCAGAAGCUCUUGAAAACUAUGCUCAGUUUGUUUCGUUCCCUAUAUACACAUGGAAGGGAAAAUGGAUAACAAAAGAGGGUUCUCUUAUACAGGUUGAUGAUGCAUGAUUCAGCUGAGUAAAACGUGAUGAGCAGGAUGACAAAACUGAGGUAGUUUUGAUACCAAAGCAUAUCACUAUUGUCAUGGAAUAUGCUGUUGGAGGUGGACUAUUUGACCGUAUAUGCAGCGCUGGAAGAUUCGAAGAGGAUGAAGUGAGCUAGGCAUUUAGAGAUGAGACUUUAUAUAUGGUCUAGGUCUAUCAAUAAUUUCAGAGCUGAGUUAUAUGUUGGCCAUGUUCGUCAGGCAAACGCUGCGGCAGCAAUGGCGAUCAAAAUACAACGGCAAAAUGAAGAAAUUUGGCCUAGGUAAAGUCGCAGCCAUCACUUAUUGUUCAGAUGAACACAAAGUGUGAAUCGUUACAUAAAACAGCGGCACUCUCCGGAAUGAAUUUGUGUCGUCAGCGACCAUUUCUCUCUCAUCACUGUGAUCUUUUUUUCAUUAAUUGUUCUGUUGUUUAUGUGCUUUUCUAACCGGCAGUCGCUGCCGCGACCUUUGUCCGAUGAACAGGGCCGUUGUCUAAUGUAGUGUCAUCGGAAAGAAAUGGGAAUAUACUUCUUUUUUUUAAAACAUGAAAAGGGAAUAUACAUAGCACAUUAAGAAGGA